CGUACCGGUUUAGCAAUUGAGUGCAGUACUGCCUUUGCCGUCUUAUUGUGUUGACGCAACAAACGAAAUAGGGAAGUGACGUUACUGUGAACGCGGCACUAAAGAAAAUACGCAACGGAUCUCCAGGUCAGGUCAUUCUUAGGGUGGGAAUAUCCUUAUGCGUGUGUAACGUGCAAGGAAGAGCGAGUCCAACACGUUGCGCUUCCUUCUCUCAUCUUCCUCUAUUCGCUUCCUCCGUCCGGACAGAGACUGACGUGAUCACACACUCCUGAGAAGAAUGCUGAUGAAGAACUUGGAGGCUUCCCAACGGUUGAUCGCCAUCACGUGCGCCCGUUAAGUUUACCUUGAUUUGCCUCAAUCGUGAUGUUGCCCACCUUUUUUUUUUUAUUAUUUUUAUUUCUUCUCUCUUCAACAAAUUGAAGGAAAAAUGUUGUCAUGUUUUACGCGGUACACCUUUUUCCUUGCAAAUAUACAUAGUACCACACGG